UUGAAAGGGAAACGAUUGAAGUCAGUCGUGCUGGCGCGAAAUCAACCUUCUCGUCUUGAGAUCACAUGGCGUANCGAGCCUCAAAACCGUCACGAAGCGUGAACUCUUGGUGAAAUGGAGNACUUUCGUGUCCGCUGGUUAACAUCAAUUUCGAACGUCAUAAAAAGGCUGGAGGGAUGUGGCUCCUUCGGGAGUGUUAUAACCUUUAGCGGAAUGUGGUGUUCGGGAUUGAGGAUUGCAACGAAUACCUUUAGGGCUGUUCCACCUGGCUUCUCUUUGGUAUCCUGGGACGACAGCUUGCUGACGUCGUUAGGAUUCGCCUUUGAACAGGCUAGAGUGUGAGCAAAUUCGUUAAGGAUGUUGACGUA
rnacentral:rRNA from 1 species